rnacentral:lncRNA from 1 species
CCCCCAGGAACAAACUCAGUAUUUCUCCACCUCAUCUGCAUCUCUUGUGUCCCCAGCUCUGUGAAUGUCCCACUGCCUGUCCAGUCACCCAUGCUGGAAACCUAGGAGUCCUCCCAGACAACUCCUUCACCCCAACCCAGUCAGUCCUCACUUCUCUCGCUUCCCUCUCAUCAUCUCCCCUCUCAGUGGCCUGACUUCAUCAGGUGAAAGUCAGGCCUUCAUCUUUUCUCACCAGGACUUCUCCUCCUCACUGCCUCCAGUCUCACCCUCUUCAAACCUGCCCUCCACACAGUUUCCUGAUACCCCUAGAAGUCAUGCACUGUCGAUACCUCUUCAGGGGCUACUCCUGCUGCAGGAUACAGCAGGGCCAACUCAGCAGCUCAGAUCUGAGCUUUGACUUCUGCUUUAGUGAUCUGCUGCCAAAACAUAUUGUAAACUGUAGUGGCUUAAUACAACAAUAACACUUCUUAUUUCUCAGUGUCUGUGGAUCAGAAAUUAAGGAAUGGCUUAACUGGAUGGUUCUGGCCCAAGGUUUCUCACGAGGUUUUAGUCCAUAUGUCAGCAAAGGCUGCAGUCGAAUGAAGGCUUGACUAGGGCUGGAGAAUUUGCUUCCCAGGUGGCUCACUGACAUGGCUGGAAGUUAGUCCUGGCUGUUGGCAUAAACCUGUUUCAUGCCAUGUAAAUCUCUCCAUAGGGUUGUUUGAGUGUCCUUAUGACAUGGUGGCCAGCUUCCUUCAGAGCGAGUGAUCCAAGAGAAAGCAAGAUGGAAUCCAUGUAUUUUAUGACCUAGUCUCAGAAGUCAUACAUGACCACCUCUACAGUAUUCUAUUGGUCACACUGGCCCCCCCACCCCCCCUCCCCGAUGCAAUGUGAGAGGGAACUACACAGAGCAGGAAUACCAGAGGAAACCACAAAGGGAAGAAGGAGAAGAUGGCUGAGACCUGUGGUCAGGACCAGUUUAAACUGGUUGAAGGCAACAUGGUGGUCCAACUUAAUCUGACAUAGACCCUGCAGCUCAUUAUAUGUUCAUCGUAAUAUAUUACCAUACUAAAUAACACACCUACUGUGGCCGUGACAGGAAACACCAGACCAAAUAAGGAAAGAAAAGAGGUGGUACCCUAUUUCCCAGACAGGCCUGCCCCUUUCUCUGAAUAACUAUGAAUAUUCCUCCCCUUCACUGCCUUGACCCCUUAUAACAAUAGCUUAAUUGCCCCAAGAGCUGAGAAAUUGAUUUGUGAACUUAGCUUCUGCUUCUCCAUUCUUUGGCCAUUGAAUAAAGCUUGUGCUGUUGAACGCUCAGCUUUGGUUUUGUUUCAAAUCCAUGACACGGAACAGGAAAGAACCCUCUUGGGGAAGGGAUGGAUUGUGGGUAUGAGGCCCACCCGUGGACCCCUUCUCUGAGCUCCGAGUAUGGGUUGGAGUCCCAACAGAGUGGGGUGAAAUUGGUAACACUAAUAACUUCCUUGUCCUGCCUCCUUUUGCCUAUAAAAAUCUUCUAUCUUGUACAUCUCCUCUGAGCUCCUUUCUAUUUGCUAGAUGGGAUGCUGCCUGAUUCAUGAAUUGUUGAAUAAAGCUAAUUAGAUCUUUAAAUUUACUCAGUUGAAUUUUGUUUUUUAACACCCCCAUAUAUUUCCUAGUCACUUUCCCACAAUUUACCCCCCUUAGGAGCUCAAAUCCCUUUUCCUUUGUCUUGUCACUUCUCCACCAAUUUAUCACUCUUUUGUCAAAAUGGUAUAUAAGCUCUCAG